GCGGGGUUGAAAGGAACAAGUGUAGUCGGGUUCUGACCGACUAGGUUCAUACCGAGGACCCAGUCGGGUUAAUGCCGAGUGGUCUCCUCAGUCCUUACAGGUGAGAGGAUUCUAAACUGGACUCAAAUUACCUAGUCGGAUUCCGACCGAAGGGACUCACCUCAAACGCUCUAUCGAGUCAUCACCGACCUCGAUGUGUUACAAGGUAUGAUCGGGUUGUAGGUCAUCUCGGAUAUCACCCGAGACAGUAC